UACGUAGGGUGCAAGCGUUAAUCGGAAUUACUGGGCGUAAAACGUGCGCAGGCGGUGAUGUAAGACAGGUGUGAAAUCCCCGGGCUUAACCUGGGAACUGCAUUUGUGACUGCAUCGCUGGAGUGCGGCAGAGGGGGAUGGAAUUCCGCGUGUAGCAGUGAAAUGCGUAGAUAUGCGGAGGAACACCGAUGGCGAAGGCAAUCCCCUGGGCCUGCACUGACGCUCAUGCACGAAAGCGUGGGGAGCAAACAGG
rnacentral:rRNA from 1 species